UACGUAGGGUCCAAGCGUUAUCCGGAAUCACUGGGCGUAAAGCGUGCGUAGGUGGCGCGUUAAGUGAGAUGUUAAAUCGUGUGGCUCAACCAUAUCGAUGCAUCUCAUACUGGCGUGCUAGAGGACAGCAGAGGCAAGUGGAAUUGGUAGUGUAGCAGUGAAAUGCGUAGAUAUUACCAGGAACACCGAUGGCGAAGGCAGCUUGCUGGGCUACUCCUGACACUGAGGUACGAAAGCGUGGGGAGCGAACAGG
rnacentral:rRNA from 1 species